CCUACGGGAGGCAGCAGUAAGGAAUAUUGUUCAAUGGGCGCAACCCUGAAGCAGCAACGUCGCGUGAAGGAUGACUGUUCUAGGAUUGUAAACUUCUUUUGUUAAAGAAGUUAAUUGAGGUAUCUGACGAAUAAGCACCGGCUAACUCCGUGACAGCAGCCGCGGUAAUACGGAGGGUGCCAGCGUUAUUCGGAGUCACUGGGCGUAAAGAGAGCGUAGGCGGGAUAGCAAGUCAGAUGUGAAAUUUUAUGGCUUAACCAUAGAACUGCAUUUGAAACUGUUAGUCUAGAGUAUGGGCGAGGUAGGUGGAAUUCUUGGUGUAGGGGUAAAAUGCGUAGAGAUCAAGAGGAAUACCGAUUGCGAAGGCGGCCUGCUAGAAUACCACUGACGUUGAUGCGCGAAAGUGUGGGGAGCAAACAGGAUUAGAUACCCUUGUAGUC
rnacentral:rRNA from 1 species